CCUCUGUCACCCAGGCUGGAGUGCAGUGGCGCAAUCUCUGUCUCUGAUGAAGGAAGAAAGAGGAUAAUACUGCGAUGAAUAUUUUGUGACGUAUUUCCAUAUCCACAUAUAUGACAGCUUCUCUAGGUUGUGUGUCUCAGAAGAGAAAUAAUGUAUCAUAGAUUUUGGAAGAAGCACGAAAAUGAUUUACUGAUUUAGGAACUGGGUGGAGUAGACCACAAAAAGACAAAUCAAAAACAUCUGGAAUGAACUAGUUGAGAGAGAAAAAGAGAGAGCAAGAAAAAAAGCAGGAGCCGGCAAGAGGGAGCCUCAGCCAACACUACAUCAGAGGCACAUUGUGGAUGGAGGAAAUGAGUUUAGUCAAGCCAGCUGUGACUUCAAAGGGGCUGCUCUCCCAGAGAACAGUGAGAAAGGGUUCCCCCUUCAGUGAAGACUGCAAAGUUCAGCCAGCGCCAACCCAAAGGGAAUGGACUCCAGGAAGGGGCAAAUUACAUUCAACAUACAAGAAAGAAUAUUUUCCUUCAUGAAGUGGCUGUGACAGUCUGAAGAGGAAGGAAAAUGACAAAAAAGAAAGAAAACUACACAUUUCUUUCAAAUUACUUACUUCACACAAAUUUACUGAGGAACAAUAGGGUGGACCCUGCAUAUUCGAAGACAAGAUCGUCUGUGUUCCAGUUCAAAAGAAGAAGCUAGACACAUAAACUGAAGAUUAUGGUAUUGAGUGAUAAGCCUUGGAGCAGGAAUCCCAAAGUGUGAUCACAUGACCAGCAGCAGCAACAUCACCUGGGAACUUGUUAGAAAUGCAAAUUUGCAGGCCCUAAUCCAAAUCUACUGAAUAAGAAAGUUGAGGUUGAUUUAACAAGCCCUUCAAGUGAUUCAAUGCUUGCUAAAACUGGAGAACCACCUUGAUAGUGAAGGGACAAAAGGACUUUUGUGCAGAGAGCUAACACAUCUGAACUAACCUUGAGAUCCUCUGCCAUCUAUAAAUCACUUCUCAAUCUCUUCCCGAUAAGAUUCUAAAUAGGUGGCUCUCUGGCAAUUCAAGGGAUGAUACACGCGUGUGUGUCUUCUCUCUUUAUGUAAGUUAUAAGAUCUGAAUGACAGAGGCACAUUCUUCUUUUAUGUUUUCUUUCCUUUCUCCUCCUAUUUUUAGGGCCAGUACGUGGAAAAUGCGGAAAUUGGAACUUACUAUAAGUAACUAAUUCAGAAAUCAGGCUGGCAGAAGUGUUAUACAUUCACUGGAAGAAAUUGGUGAAUAUAUGGAAAACAUAAAUGUUAUGUAUCCUGGAACUUAAAAUAAAAAUUAAUAAUAAAAAAUGUUAUCUCUCCCAAGCACUCAUUUGAUGCUUGAAUCCUCUCUAUGACAUCCUUACCAAGGAUUUGUUCUUCUUAUGCUUGGGUACUUCAACUGAUGAGAAUCUCACUAGCUCAGGAUGCAGUUUGCUUUCUUUUAGAUAGCUCUGUUAGAGCUGCCUUCUUCCAGGGCUGAACACUUCCAUAAUUUAAAUUCCAUUUAUUAGUUUUAGUCCUGCCCCUUGGGAACUCGUAGCAAAGAUACUUACAUAUUAAUGUGACAUUUUUCAGGUACUUGAGGUUAGUAAUUAUGUAGCAUAUGACAUAGAUUAAACUCAUAGACUCUGGAAACAAACUACUUGCCUUCCCUUCAAAUUCUUAUUCUGCCACUUACUUACUAUGUGACCUCCAGAGAGUUAUUUACUAUCUCUGUAACUUUAUUUCUUUAUCUAUAUAAAAAGAUAUAAUAAUAGCAGUACAUCAAAGGGCUUUUAUAAGGAGUCCAUGAAUUAAUAUAUGUAGAUGUGCCUGGAACACGGUAAGUGCUCUAAAAGUUUUCACUAUUACUAAUCAUCAUCAUUAUUAUACAGAUCUUGUCAGAUAUCGGACCUAGGCCAUCUUUCUAAGUCUUUACUCAUUCAUUAAGUGAGCUCAUUCACUCCCAUGGCUUCAAUCACCAUCUAUAUGAUUAUGAAAAAUCUAUUUUCCUCCUGAGCCAAGAGCUAAAUGUAAGUGACCAGUUAUGGAUACAGGAAUUGCUCUGGCCACCAUAAUUUGGGUGGAAAUGGUGCAUACCACUUCCAGUUCUUGCCCCUUAAAAUACCAUGAGAAAUCUUGCACUCCUUUCUCCUAGUUCAUCAGCUAACUGAAUGCAGAGAAACCAGUGGAGGACUCCAAGGAAAUUCCAAAGAGUGGUUGAACCACGGGUUGGAAGAAGUCUAGAUCCCUGAGUCAAUGUUUGGAGAGGAGCUGCCGAGGAGAGCCACCAGAGAGGGACACAUGAGCAAGAAAUAAACAUUUCUUCUGUUAAAACAUUGAGAUUUUAUAGCCCAUCAUGACUAAUCCAAUGAGACCCUAGUGUAGAUCUUUUGCUUAGUCUUCGCUUCUGAGAUCUAGAACUAUAUAUUUCAUUUGCUAAUCACCAUUUCUACAUGAACCCUCAAAUAGGGUAAUAGGUAAACUCAGAGUUUCUAAGAUUAGACUGUGUUGAAAUCUUAGUCCUUCCAGGUACAGCUAUAUGACUCAAUGUGUGUGUGGGGGCGGGGGCAGGGGGGUUAAAUAAACUAUUCAUAACUGUAUCUACUUAAAAGUAAUAAGAAAAUGAAAUGAGCAUAUACAUAUAUAUAAAACAGUUAUCGGCACAUAGUAAAUGCUCAGUAAUUGUCAGGUAAUACAGUUAUUAUGACCAUCCCACUCCAAAUUUGCUCUUUCCCCAGGUUUUUUAUGUUGAUAAAUGGUACCACCAUCCAAUAGUUGUUAAAAUUAGAAAUUUGCAACUUUAUCUUGGAUCACUUUUUUUAUCCUCCCACAUGGAUAAAGUCAAUCAAUAACUGAUUGAUUACACUCCUUCAGUAUUUUUCAAAUCCAUUUGCUUAACUCUCUCCUCUUCUAUUCUACACUUUUCAUCCUAGUUAAAGCCACCAGCCUAUGUAACUUUAUUAUAUUUGCGUCCUUACUAGUCUUUUCAAAUCCAUCCUUGCACCCUCCCAAUUCAUGCUUUAUGUGGAAAUGUAGGCAUUUUUUAAAAAAUUCAAAUCAAAUCUUGCUGCUCAAAAUUUUAAAUGCAUCAACACCGAUUGCUCUUUGGUGCCACCACAUUCCUGACCCAUUACUUCAGCACCCCCUCAAACCCACCACAGGACUUUAUUUCUACAAUUCAGCCACACUGGACUUUUGUCGGUGUCAGAAAAGUGCCAUAGAUUGUCCCAUCUUUGAUGUUAUCAUGUGUUGGUUACUUUUGCUUAGAAUAAACUUUCUCCCCAUCCCAGUUUACCUAAUUAAUUCCUGACCACUCUUUACAUUUCUGCUUAAAUGCUAUACUCUCCAGAAAGCCCUCUUAGCAAUCUCUGCCCACACUUCUUAAAGCUAUGCCUACAUAGCCCCCACCUUAUUUCUUCAUUAAACUCUUUGCACUUGCCAUUAUUUGUAUAAUUAUGUUUUCCCAGCUAACCAGGAGACUUUGUGAGGGCAGAGACCUCAUAUGUAUGGCUCACUGCCUGGUAUAGACAGUAUAUUGGCUUAUACGAAGGAGGAGUUUAUUAAAUACAGUAAAUUUUUUUAAGUGUGAAUAUGAGUCUGUUAAAUGACUGUGUGUAUAUGUACCCAAUGUAAAGUUUUAUUUGGUUCGGUCUAGAAAAAUGUCCUACAGCCAAUUCAUGUACCUAAUUAAAUUCACUUACAAAUUUAGGAAACUCAGCACCUGCCCUAUUUGAGUUUAAAACUAGUUGAUUUGAUAGACAUAUAAAAUAAAAACUAUACUAUAGUAUCAUCCAUGCUGUCAUAAUAGAAUUAUCUCAAAACCUCCAUUGAUGUACUAUUUGGG
rnacentral:lncRNA from 10 species